rnacentral:rRNA from 1 species
AUUGAACGCUGGCGGCAUGCUUUACACAUGCAAGUCGAACGGUAACAGGCCUUCGGGUGCUGACGAGUGGCGAACGGGUGAGUAAUGCAUCGGAACGUGCCCAGAGGUGGGGGAUAACGCAGCGAAAGCUGUGCUAAUACCGCAUGUGAUCUGAGGAUGAAAGCGGGGGACCAAGCAGCAAUGUUUGGCCUCGCGCCUCUGGAGCGGCCGAUGUCAGAUUAGGUAGUUGGGGGGGUAAAGGCCUACCAAGCCGACGAUCUGUAGCUGGUCUGAGAGGACGACCAGCCACACUGGGACUGAGACACGGCCCAGACUCCUACGGGAGGCAGCAGUGGGGAAUUUUGGACAAUGGGCGCAAGCCUGAUCCAGCAAUGCCGCGUGCGGGAAGAAGGCCUUCGGGUUGUAAACCGCUUUUGUACGGAACGAAAAGGCUCUGGCUAAUACCUGGGGCUGAUGACGGUACCGUAAGAAUAAGCACCGGCUAACUACGUG